AGUGCAUCGGAUCAGGAGCAAUCUUCUCAGUGUCUGGUUACAUGUCUUUAUUUCCCCCCUUCUAUUUAAUCCUCUCUAGUCCCUUAAUUAAUUUAAUUCCCCUUUUUUCCUGUUUGAUUUCUCACCCUACCCCUUUCCCUGCCCUGUGGGAAGAUUCUCCCUGUACCUGUGAGCGCUGCCUGUGCGUAAUCCUCCUGGGCUUGCCUUUCCCAAUAGGGAGAGAGCCCCCAUUAGGGGCUUUCUUUUGCAAAGAGGUUUUCCCCAUUUUUGCCUGUUUAAUUGUGGGGCUAGUCAGGGCUGUUCCCAGCUUAGCUGGAAUCACUUCGUUUAUAGUAUCCCCAAAGGUGGCUUUAUUUUGGGUGCAUGCAGUGCUGUUGGCUGAGUUUUAAUUUAGCCUUGGGCGGGAGCACUAUAUUGAGUUCCUUUAAUAUUGCAAUGAGACAAUAAAAGGCAGAGAGCAGAAGCAGGGAGGCCUUCACGGCCUGCUCGGCCUGCACAUACCAUUCAAGCCUAAGCCUGCUACAGUUAGCAGUACAGUAAUUGUUAAGUCUCUCUGACAUGUGACUCACUUUCUCUAUAAGAAUUUAUCUGUUUGUUUGCAGGCUCACUUGUUGCUAAUGUAUAUCUUAGGCAGACAGAGUGGAGCCAGAGGCUCUCUGUGCCUCCAGUGAGCACUCUGUGUAUGCUCUUUAACUAUGCUGUUUCAGAACAAGUUUAUUUUCUUCAAGUUUGUUUUGCCCUGAUAGUGGCAAUUGCCAUUUUAGAGACGAGCCAUUGUGGCUUAGUGGCUAGAGCGCAGUACUAGGACCUGGGAGACAGGGUUCAUAUCCCCCACUUAGCCAUUGUUAUCACAAAACAAAACAAGCUGCUCCUUUUGGACUAUUCUGUUGCUGGGUAGUUCGGCCCACUUGUGAUAUUGCUCCCAAAAAGAACUUUGGGUUUUCUUGAGGAGGUGCUUCCCUCUAAAGGGCAAACAGGGGUACCUGGACAGGCGGUGGGCUGCCUCGAAUUUGUUAUCUCAUUGGAAACAUUUAUGUCUGGCCUAGCAGGUGAUCUUAGGGCUUGGCCCUAGAAUUUGAUGGCCUCUGGCAGCGUUUCUGGCCUGAAUAGCUUCCCCAUGUGGUGCACAAAGCAUUGGUUUCACCAGUUCCUCACAUUUAGUUUUGCAGACUAUGACAGAGCCUUUGCAGAUGCCUCCAGAGCUUGCCUCUCCUGCAGAGGUUGACUUGCUGAUGCCCUAGGUGCCUUCUUCCAGAAGGAAGCGUCUUCGGAGGCGGCGAUCCAGGAGCAGGGAAAAGGGGAGCAGGGAUGAUGCUUACACCUCCUUGCAGGUACGUCAAACCUGGGUCUUUAGGGAUCAUCCUGGAUAGCUCAGCUGGUCAGCGUAUGGUGCCGGUAAUACCUAGGUUGCAGUCUUGGUCCCUGUAUGGAACAGCUGCAUGUUCCCCCAUCACUCUACCCGGUCACUGAGGUCCAGCGCCGAGGGCCUUCUGGUGGUUCCCUCACUGAGAGGCCAAGUUACAGGGCACCAUGUGGAGGACCUUCUCGGUAGUGGCACCCGCCAUGUGGUACGCCCUCCCAUCAGAUGUCUACUACCAGACUUUUAGAAGACAUCUAAGGCAGCCCUGUUUAGGGAAGCCUUUAAUGUUUGCUGCAUUACUGUAUUUCAAUCUUUUGUUGGAAGCUGCCCAGAGUGGCUGGGGAACAAAUAGAUGAUGAUGAUGAUGAUGAUUAUAUUGUGGGAGAGUGGACCAGAUGAUCCUCAGGGUCCCUUCCACCCCACUAUUCUUUACGUUGCAAUUCAAUAUGGGAAUGCAGGGCUGCCAUCAUCCCCUCAGCUUGCUAGGAUCGCAGGGACGGGGACAUGUGGACCACUUGUGCAGCUCCACAUUUCAAAUGGAAAUUCCCUGAGCUAUAGAACCUUAAGCUGGUAUGCAGGAAGCUGGCCCGGCAGCAGCUUUGUUGGGACUUUUUAGGGUUUCUGGCCGGCGUUGGCCCUGCAAAUUUACACAUCAUGGUGGCAACACAAGGCAGGGCAUUUUGCCCAAUGUGGGGGCUGGGGGCUAGCAAGCAAUAACUCAAUACCUCUCGCCCAUAUUUCCAUAAAAAUACCUUCCUUGAAAGCCUGGCCAAAUGGUUAUCUAGAUAGGUCAGUGGUUUUGUGCUUGUGGGAAGGGUUUUCCCAAGGUUUGGGAUUCCUCUGGCUCUUCAGCCAGUGGCUCAGAAUACAGCAACUCAAAGCCAGUCAGAGAGCUACCUGUGGUAGCAAGUAAGAAAGUUAGGAAGCAGCUUUCAUUGGGACGUAUGGUGGUAUCCCCUUGAUUCUCCUGCUAUUCCUAUUUUCAUUUAUCCCCUUUGAGGAUCGUCCCUAAGAAAGCCCCAUAUAAUCCCCCAUAUAAUUUAUCGCAUCCCAAAGGCACCUCAGUGAAUGACUCUCUGGAAUUGUUCCACAAAAUAUGCAUCUUUGGAUCAGGCAGUUGAGCUUACCAACAUAUUGGAAGAGGGCCUUGUUGGCAUUAUGCGAUAUUGAAUUGGCUGUUCGGCUGUUCGGCUGCUGCCAAGAUUAUAAGUAGUUGGGCUUAAUUGGAUGGUCCUUACACUUAUAAGGCGAUGCCAAUGGGUUGCGCUAUAGGCUGUGCAGCACUCGAGUCCUUUAGCAUCUUUCUGGAUUGAACAUUGCGAAUCAAGACUCGUUUAACUGGGGGUACCAUUAUUUGGAUUAUCUUACUAGCUGGUUCAUGUGACACCAGCCUCUGCUAAGGCUUACUGUACGCCCCUUUUAUUCCCUGAGGAGCUGGGUGUUCCCAGUGGAUAGGACAGUGGCUCCUACUGCCCCUUUUAACGUAUUUGGGGGCUAGCUGGAUACCGUUGCUCAUACCUCUGCUUGCCUGUGGAAAAGCUGUUUGCCGUGAAGGACGUUAUUCUUGUAAUACUUCCUCUGAUAGCAAAUGUUGCUUUGUCAGAUUCUAUCAUUGCUAGGUCAGUUUAAAAAAAAAAAAUGGCAUGCAGGGUGGUUGUUCCAGGCUGCCCCUUCUAUUCCUGCUUGGCCAGGUGGGGUCUCAUGGCCCAGGGUCCCUUCAUCAUCCUGUACAGUGGCCUUGAGCCUGGCAGGGCAAGGCAAUCACAUGUGACCUAACUUUUCUUGAGUUUUCCCCAUUGUAGUCUCAGCGCACAUCUGGACUGAGGAGUACAGGGACCAUCGGGUCUGUCUUGGUUUGAUAACCAGGCAGUGUGAGGGUCCUGGCAAAAUGGUCCUCAUUCUUCAGCAGAGUCUCCGCCCCCCUUUUAUGUGCUUUCCAGCUGCACUGCUUAAGGUUUAAUAUUGCGUUUCUGCUCGCUUUAUUACGGGAUCAUCUAAUGUUUUCGCUGUCACUCUAUCCCGUUUUCAGUUGGAGAGCUUCAGAUCCUGGCCUCUGGAUGCCCAGCUAUAGCUGGAUUUUCUGGAGCUCCUGUGGCGCUUUGGCAACAAUUGAUAAUUAAGAGGAGUAGUAGCUUACAUUUCCCCUUCUGCUUUCAGGCCUGGACUGAUUUCUUAGCAUUUAGCUGGCAGUCCUCGGCCAUUCAGAGGAACUUGCCUCCAUCCUCUGAGCAGGACCUGCAGUAAUUGGACUACCUGCUGCAGAUCGGAUGCACUGUUAAAACUAUCAUAAUUCAGUCCGCUGCAAUGUCUGCUAGAGUAAAGCUUUAAUUUUUCAGAGACCCUUUUAAAAGUGUGUCAUGCGCAGGGUCUCGGAAGGUUGUAAAAGGCUCCAGCCUUCACAGGACUGCAGGCAGGAAGCCGGUCAAUCUUGACCUAUGCAGUAUCCGCAACAAGUUAAGACUUGUCUCCUGGUUCUAGAUCUAGACGAGACUUCUUUCAGUAUUCCAUUGUAAUUUUGGUGUACUGAGGGUUGGGGAAAUUGUGUUGCAGCCAGCACAGGGCUGAGAGUUUGGAGGCUUAUUGCCUCUGGAUUUUUCCUUAUCUGCUUUAGAGCUUGUCAUAAGUGUCUGGAGCUCUAAGUCAGACCUAGUGGGCUGGGUUGCCAUCAUCAGGCUUCCAGUCACAGGUAGGUGGGCCCUUGCCCUGUUAUUGGAUACCAGAAAUAUUUGGCCUUUCGUUCCCCUGGGGGCUGGCUCGAUCCUAGAAGUUGCUGGUUCUCGUGGGUUGCUCCUUCGGGAUAUAUGCGUUUCCCUUUUGGAGUUGAGACUUGUAGUGUGCAACUCCAAAACUGACCAGCUGGGUCGGGGGGAGGUUGUCCACCUCCCAGCGACUGGGGAGGUGGGCCUGUGCCCGGUCAAGGAUGUAAGGAAGUACUUGGCCUUGAGACCUCCUGGGGACAGCCCCCUACUCAUGCAUGAAAAUGGUCACCCUUUGGCGCGACACCAGUUCACAAAAGUCAUGCGUAAGGCCAUCUCUGCUUGUGGGAUCUCGGCCUCUGGUUUUGCCCCUCAUUCCUUUCGCAUAGGUGCAGCGACUAUGGCGGCCCAUUGGGGCUUCUCAGCCGCCAGGAUCAAGGAUUUGGGGAGAUGGAAAUCAUAUGCUUUCAAGGGUUAAGUGCGAAACAAAAUGCUGAGUUUGGUACUAAUGCUUGUUUGUUUCAACCCUUGCAGAUCCCACGCUGGUCCGCGUCUGGAUAGUGGGACACAGCAUCGUUCAUUGGGCUGGCAGCAGAGCGAGGCAGUCUGCAAGGGGAGCGUGUCUCGGCCUCCCACAGCACGUGCAAGUGUCAUGGUUUUCCAGACGUGGAAUUUCAUGGGGAGAGCUUAUGCCGCUGAUUGGUCGCCGGCUGCUCUCGGACCUGCCCACCCUAUGGCCAUAGUGGUGCAGCUGGGGAAAAAAUGAUGUGGCAACUAUUGAUUGCCUUGCUUUGCGCACCUCAGUCCAAAAGGGAUUUGGAGGCAUUGGCAGCCUUAUUACCUUCAGUGAGAAUAAUUUGGUCUCACCUGUUGCAGAGGCAAACCUGGCGCGGUGUUUCCCGCCUGGAGGCCGCUGAAAGGGCCAGGAAGCGCAUUAACUCUGCUGUUUGCGUGAAGGUAUUGGAGCUGGGUGGUUUGGUGAUUUCGCACCCAGACAUUAAUUUUAAGGCUGAGGCCCUUUACCGGGCAGAUGGAGUGCACCUCUCCGAUUUGGGGAAUGAUGUUUGGCUGGAUGCGGUGGCUACUAAAUUGGGUUCAUGGUUGGGUUUGUGAAUGGUUGGCGGCGAGCGUUAGAGCUCGUGUGGCGGUUAGGCAUUGGUUAUAAUAUGCUGGUGGUGGAGGGGUCAGGAUAGGCCGUGCCUGUCCCUCCCGUUGCGCUGAAGGGAAUUCCGUUAAAGGAAUCCUGGGGCUUGCCAUGAUUUCGUCCAAUCCCUGUCAUGGGACCAGGGCCGCCCAAUCCCUGUCAUGGGAAUCCUUGUCAUAGGAUCUGGGCCGGCAAGCUUCGGGAGCUGCUGGGGUGAGCGGCGUGGGUCCGACGCUUAGCUCAAAUGACCCCCAGUUUGACUUUCUCUUCUACUGGCUACCGAUCGGACCUCGGGAUGUCAGUUCUGUCCCAGGCGGGGGGACAGAUAGUCAUAACCAAUGUCUAAACAACCACUCACUGAUUUUGUAUUUUAAUAAAGUUGUGGCCAAAAUAGUGCCCAAAAACCAAAACUAAAUUACGUGUUAUGUGUGAAGUUAUUUGAGGGGUGGCCUGGGGACCUACACACGCAACGUGGUUUUCCAAAGAGAGGUCAUGCUGCCUCUCUUUGGAAAACCCCUUCAUGAUAGUACUGCCUCAUAUUGCAAAACCCUUAACUCAAAUUGUUCAGAGAAAAAUUGGGCAAUUGCUUGGAAGUGUUAAUAGUGGGAGUUUUAAUGAUUCAGAC